rnacentral:rRNA from 1 species
GAUGAACGCUGGCGGCGUGCCUAAUACAUGCAAGUCGAGCGAACGGACGAGAAGCUUGCUUUUCUGAUGUUAGCGGCGGACGGGUGAGUAACACGUGGAUAACCUACCUAUAAGACUGGGAUAACUUCGGGAAACCGGAGCUAAUACCGGAUAAUAUUUUGAACCGCAUGGUUCAAAAGUGAAAGACGGUCUUGCUGUCACUUAUAGAUGGAUCCGCGCUGCAUUAGCUAGUUGGUAAGGUAACGGCUUACCAAGGCAACGAUGCAUAGCCGACCUGAGAGGGUGAUCGGCCACACUGGAACUGAGACACGGUCCAGACUCCUACGGGAGGCAGCAGUAGGGAAUCUUCCGCAAUGGGCGAAAGCCUGACGGAGCAACGCCGCGUGAGUGAUGAAGGUCUGCGGAUCGUAAAACUCUGUUAUUAGGGAAGAACAUAUGUGUAAGUAACUGUGCACAUCUGGACGGUACCUAAGCAGAAAGCCACGGCUAACUACGU